GAUGGACGCUGGCGGCGUGCCUAAUACAUGCAAGUCGAGCGAACAGACGAGGAGCUUGCUCCUCUGACGUUAGCGGCGGACGGGUGAGUAACACGUGGAUAACCUACCUAUAAGACUGGGAUAACUUCGGGAAACCGGAGCUAAUACCGGAUAAUAUAUUGAACCGCAUGGUUCAAUAGUGAAAGACGGUUUUGCUGUCACUUAUAGAUGGAUCCGCGCCGCAUUAGCUAGUUGGUAAGGUAACGGCUUACCAAGGCAACGAUGCGUAGCCGACCUGAUAGGGUGAUCGGCCACACUGGAACUGAGACACGGUCCAGACUCCUACGGGAGGCAGCAGUAGGGAAUCUGCCGCAAUGGGCGAAAGCCUGACGGAGCAACGCGGCGUGAGUGAUGAAGGUCUUCGGAUCGUAAAACUCUGUUAUUAGGGAAGAACAAAUGUGUAAGUAACUAUGCACGUCUUGACGGUACCUAAUCAGAAAGCCACGGCGAACUACGU
rnacentral:rRNA from 1 species